UUCGGGGACGCUACAGUUGGUAUCAAAGAUGUUGGUUAUGAAGCUUAGGUAGGAAUACCUGAGACCAAUAACCGCAGUGAUUAGGAUAAGAUCUAACUCACAUAGAGUUAGUGGUCGGUAAGAUUCAAAGACGAAUCUCGGUAAGUUGUAAAGAUACAGAGUUCCCUAACUCUGGUAAUAAGGUUGAACAGAAGUGGUGAAUAGAUAAAGUCUAAAAGACUAAAAGUUCAGUGAUAGGAGAUCGUAAAACAAAACGAUCA
rnacentral:lncRNA from 1 species